GGAAGAUUGGCCAUAAGAGACUACAUUUUCCAGGGGUCCGCCCGGUGCCCUUUGUCUAAAUUGGUGCGUAAUCUUCAGUUGCGGGCAUUUUCUCCUGGGAUUCAGGACAGAAAGCACACUUCCAUGAACGAUGUAUCAUCGAAGAGAUAUGUGAAAAACACCUUGAGGAUUGGUUCUAAACAACGUUUGCCAUGUUACAGUCGAUAUUAUGGAGUUCAUUUGGAUAAAAGUUAGGCGUUUUUAUGACUGGAUUUUCGUUUUUUUUUGGUAGCCAAACGUGACGCACCAAACGGAGCGAUUUCUCCUAAACAAAUAACCUUUCAGGAAAAACUGAACAUUUGCUAUCUAACAGAGUCUCCUCAUUGAAAACAUCUGAAGUUCUUCAAAGCUAAGUCCUCUCCUGUUCCCUGAUUAAGAGGUGAUGACAACUCCACUACCAUUGUCAACUCUCUCCUGACAUGAACUGAAGCCACGUCUCAUGUGCUCGCUCAUCCACUGGCACUUUGCAUGUUUCCUCUCCAAGCACUUUAAAUCCUGUCCUGCACUGAAGUCAAGCCUCUGAACACCUCAACUCAUGCCUCAUACCUCACUGCUGUGAUCCCUUCUCAUUCCCAUUCCCCAUAAUAUUGUACAAUACAUGUCUUUAGUAAAUGAUUUAGGUGAAAAUAAUUACUCUUUGAUUAUUUUUUAAAUACACAUAGACGUCUCCUUGCGCCUAUACCAUUGGUCUCCCAUCCUCCUCAAUUGUUAAAGUCACCAGCCUCCACUGCUCUCCACUGUGGUACUGUCUUAAUGCUAGACACAAUGCCAUAGUAAUUAGAUUGUAACCAGUGUCUAAGGGCUCUAUUCAAUUCACAUCGCGGAAGUUCAGCUUUAGUGUGAUUGAAAUUUAAAGGCAACGUUCCUACUUUAGCAGAGACUGCAUUCACGGUAAACGCUGCAUAUCAGCUCAAUCAGAAAUUACCUUGAAAUUUGUAUCUCGGAAUCUGUAACGCUUCAGCUUACCCGAUUGAAUUGAGCCCUAAAGCUCUUUUUCAGAACUCCAUCAAACCAGAGCAGGACAUCAGUUACUGUCGGUCAUGGUGCACGGACCAUGCAAUGACGCACGUUACUUCUGCUAUAAAGUGCUUCACCCAAGGGGAAAAUCAAUGACGAGCUUAUCCCAAAUGGGACCAGUCAGUUUGAUAUGGCACUCACACACUGUGUUUUAAUGCACCACAUGUGUAAACCAUUCAGUGUGCUUGUUGACUAAACAAGGAUGAACAGGCCGUAAACAGAUAGUGAACGCCAGUGGACAUGAAAUGAUAAAGCACCGCGCUUUCAGGAUGGAGCGGUAAGAGGGACAGAGAUGACAGAUAAAGGGUCCUCAAUAUCGGUCAAUCCCUCAUCCCUGCAUGACUACUGAGAGGGAGUGUGAUCAUAGCAACUUCCCUACAAGCAUGCCCACAUUGGCACCAUGAGGGCCCGAUGCAGGUUCAAAUAUUGACCCCAUGUAGGCUGCCAACAUUGGGCCAAUGCAUCUUUGUUCAUGGGCUUCACGUUGGCCCCCAAGGCAUUUGCCCAGUGUGGCCCAGUGUGGGCAGCCCAUAUCUCGGGAAAGCAGCCCUCACUUUGUCUAAAAUAAUAAUAUUUACCAAGAAAACAUGCCCACAUUGGCACGAUGUGGGCCCAAUGCAGGCAAAAAUAUUGGCCCCAUGUCAGUCAAUAAAUAACAUUUAUUUAUAAAGCCCUUUUUACAUUAGCAGUUUUCACAAAGUGCCUAUACAGAAACCCAGCUUAAAACACCAAAGAGCAACCAAUGCAGAUUGUUGUGGAUUCCCCCGGUACUGCUGCUCAUUUCAUUCACCAGCUCUGGAGGUCUACGUCACCGGCCUCUAGGCAUCACUGAACUGUUUCAUUACGCACACCUGAUUCCAAUUCCCCUGAUUAGUAAUUGUAUAUAUGUGCCCUCUGUUCGCCAUUGUCUAGUCGUGACACAGAUGUAGAAUACACAUUUGCUAUUUGAGGGGAAUGUAUUUAUUUAUUUAUUUAUUACAAUUUAAUUCAAUGCAUAAUUGUUAAUCCUUAAAAAUUAUUUAUGGAAAGUGAUACUUUUCUGAUACAAUGUAUCAGACAAAGUUCUUACUAUCAUACAUAUAUCUUUACAAGAAGAACUGUUAAGUUUCUCAUACGUCAUAUGCACUUAUUAGGGCCAAUGGGCUCAUGUCCCUGGGUUUGAGCCCUUCACGACCAGUGGUGGAAAAGGUUCUCAAUUUUCAUACUUGAUUUAAAAGUAAAGAUACCUUAAUAGAAAAGUCUAAAAGUAUCAGGUUUUAAAUAUUCUUAAGUAUUAAAAGUAUAAAUAAUUUCAAAUCCCUUAUAAGAAGGAAACCAAAUGGCAGUUUUAUUUGCAUUUUUUAUUUUUUAUUUACAGAUAGCCAGGGGCACACUCCAAAACUCUGACAUAAUUUACAAACAAAGCAUUUGUGUUUAGUGAGUCCACCAGAUCAGAGGCAGUAGGGAUGACCAGGGAGGUUAUCUUGAUUAGUGUGUGAAUUGGACCAUUUUCCUGUCAAAAUGUAAUAUUGUAUUUUUGUAUUUUUGGGUGUCAGGAAAAAUGUAUGGUGAAUGUAGUGAAGUAAAAGUUGGCAAAAAUAUAAAUAGUAAAGUAUAGAUACCCCCCAAAAACGACUUAAGUAGUACUUGAAAGUAUUUUUCCUACAGUACUUUACACCACUGUCCAUGACACACAAUGAAACACCUAGUUUUAAAAAAUCUGUCUUGGGCUAGAAGCUGGUCCACAAACUCCAGAAUUUUUCUUUGCCUAUAUAUAUAUCCGCAGCGGAAAGGGCAUGUCUCACAGAGACGGAUGCCUGGAUCAUUUUCCCUGUCCAGCCCACUAAUGACCCCAAGGGGACCCUGGCAGAAUGGGAGGGAGGAGAAUAUGGGGUAAGGAGAGAAGGGAAGGGGAGAAGAGGAACUCGCUCAGUCCCGAUGCGCCAGUUGAUGAGGCAGCAGCUGUGAGUCACAGGAAGGAGAAUGGAGCCGGCCGGCGAGCGUCCUUUUCUGGCAGCGAGUCAGCUGCCCAACCAUCGCCAUCGGAGGGAGUCAGCACAAAUGCUACGAUGACGACCUGAGGGCUGCUCGUUUCGUCAGUCCCUUUCCUCCGCUAACAAAGCAGCUAUCUGCUUCCUUUCCAUCACUGCACAUUUUCCAGCUUUGACCUUUGAGCAUGAAAAUAAUAUGACAAGAACAAUUAUGUUGAAGGCCAACUAGAUUAGUCUCUGAGGUCCAUUCUGCCGCUCUUAAUUUGUGGUUUCAACGUAUAUUUGUUUUGAAAAUAAAGAAUUGGAGGUUUUUACCUUUUUCUGUUGAAAAUAGAAAACAAAUGAAUGUUGUAAUUGAUUAGAACAAGACUGAAAACAAACUUAACAACUUUAACCUCUGAAUGGCGC
ensembl:lncRNA